rnacentral:rRNA from 1 species
CACCUCUAGCAUUUCCAGUAUUAGAGGCACUGCCUGCCCAGUGACAUCUGUUUAAACGGCCGCGGUAUCCUAACCGUGCAAAGGUAGCAUAAUCACUUGUUCCCUAAAUAGGGACUUGUAUGAAUGGCCACACGAGGGUUUUACUGUCUCUUACUUCCAAUCAGUGAAAUUGACCUUCCCGUGAAGAGGCGGGAAUGACUAAAUAAGACGAGAAGACCCUAUGGAGCUUUAAUUAACUGAUUCACAAAAAACGACACACAAACUUAACCUUCAGGGACAACAAAACUUUUGAUUGAAUCAGCAAUUUCGGUUGGGGUGACCUCGGAGAACAAAACAACCUCCGAGUGAUUUAAAUCCAGACUAACUAGUCAAAAUAUAUAAUCACUUAUUGAUCCAAACCAUUGAUCAACGGAACAAGUUACCCUAGGGAUAACAGCGCAAUCCUAUUCCAGAGUCCAUAUCGACAAUUAGGGUUUACGACCUCGAUGUUGGAUCAAGACAUCCUAAUGGUGCAACCGCUAUUAAGGGUUCGUUUGUUCAACGAUUAAAGUCUU